rnacentral:rRNA from 1 species
GACGAACGCUGGCGGCGUGCCUAAUACAUGCAAGUAGAACGCUGAAGCGAGGAGCUUGCUCUUCUUGGAUGAGUUGCGAACGGGUGAGUAACGCGUAGGUAACCUGCCUUGUAGCGGGGGAUAACUAUUGGAAACGAUAGCUAAUACCGCAUAACAAUGGAUGACGCAUGUCAUUUAUUUGAAAGGGGCAAUUGCUCCACUACAAGAUGGACCUGCGUUGUAUUAGCUAGUAGGUGAGGUAAUGGCUCACCUAGGCGACGAUACAUAGCCGACCUGAGAGGGUGAUCGGCCAAACUGGGACUGAGACACGGCCCAGACGCCUACGGGAGGCAGCAGUAGGGAAUCUUCGGCAAUGGGGGCAACGCUGACCGAGCAACGCCGCGUGAGUGAAGAAGGGUUUCGGAUCGUAAAGCUCUGUUGUAAGUCAAGAACGGGUGUGAGAGUGGAAAGUUCACACUGUGACGGUAGCUUACCAGAAAGGGACGGCUAACUACGUG